UACGUAGGGGGCAAGCGUUGUCCGGAAUCAUUGGGCGUAAAGAGCGUGUAGGCGGCUUGUCGCGUCGACUGUGAAAACCCGCGGCUCAACCGUGUGGUCUGCAGUCGAUACGGGCAUGACUGGAGUUCGGCAGGGGAGACUGGAAUUCCUGGUGUAGCGGUGAAAUGCGCAGAUAUCAGGAGGAACACCGGUGGCGAAGGCGGGUCUC
rnacentral:rRNA from 1 species